GCCGGAUAUAAAGAAAAUGAAUUUAUUUUAAUUCCAACAAAAGUGUUUUAAAAAAAAAAAAACAUUUGUAAAUUUAGUUAUUAAAUUUAUGUGCGUCGCAUAUUUAUUUAAUUUAGCAUUCAAAGUAUUUUCACGAGCUUUUAUUUAAGCAAACACUGAAUGAUUAUUACAGUUUUCAUAGUACAACCUGGAAGACUUUUUAUUUUAUUUUAUUUUAUUUUAUUUUAUUUUUAUUCCCACACCUACUCCCUCACCUAACAUACGCCACCUACCCCUUAAAAUAAGCUCCCACCUACUCCCUCAUUUUUUCAAACUUAACAUCACAUACCCUCAAAGACCUCUUGCACACUUCACACCAUUGGACAAAUUCAAAGUUUACUUCAGCUAAAAUCUUCUUUCUUUCGUUCACACAAAUUAUCCUUGCAAGAAAAAGAACUCAAGCUUAAGAGAUUACAACAUCCAAAACUAUUCAAGGCUUUGUGACCAGGGGGAUUAGCGCUGCUUUCCCAAGACAGGUUUAUAUGUGAUUAUGAUCUUCAGGCUUUGCCUAACCAGGUUGGCUGGCCGGUGCUGACGGGACGGAGCUGAGGCUAGCGAUAAAUUCCUAUGUUAGACUUCCGCUGUAGCAAUUACUCAUAUCAGUCUUUUGUUUUCUCAACUUAAGAUCUUCAUGUUAAAUUUCAAAUGAUAUACCUGAUCGAGCUUAGACUCUUCACUACUAAAUUUAUGCUAAUGAAUGUCGGUUGUCAGAAGCAUGAAACAAAACUUGUGAUCCAAAGGGGCAUAGCCCGACUCUCUAUCUUAUUAUUCGGGUUUUAACAAGGUUGUUCCUUGUUUAUUUCUAUGAAUUAUUCACACCUCGAUUAUAU